UAUUUUUUGAUAAAUAGUGAACUGGAUAUUUUAUUACAAAAAAGAAAGAAAAAAAAAGGCUGGCCCUAUAAGUAACUAGGCGCAACCCAAUAUCUUAAGUAAAUAACAGUAAAAAACAAAAAACAAAGGCUGGCCCAAACAAACAAAAUGGGCUCAGCCCGAGGUCCUUAAAAACAAAAUAGAUUAAAGAAACUCUAACACAAAUAUCCAGUCAAUCAUGACAGCAUUCAUUUCCCCC
rnacentral:lncRNA from 1 species